rnacentral:rRNA from 1 species
CAGUAGCCGCGGGAAUACGUAGGGUGCGAGCGUUAAUCGGAAUUACUGGGCGUAAAGCGUGCGCAGGCGGUUGUACAAGACAGAUGUGAAAUCCCCGGGCUUAACCUGGGAAUGGCAUUUGUGACUGUACGGCUAGAGUGUGUCAGAGGGGGGUAGAAUUCCACGUGUAGCAGUGAAAUGCGUAGAUAUGUGGAGGAAUACCGAUGGCGAAGGCAGCCCCCUGGGAUAACACUGACGCUCAUGCACGAAAGCGUGGGGAGCAAACAGGAUUAGAUACCCCGGUAGUCCCUGUCUCUUAUAC